rnacentral:lncRNA from 1 species
AUGUUUCAGCUUCAGUCAAUCACGUCCGCAGAUUCUAAAACAAUUGGAGCCAAUCACGUUCGCACAGUCGAAAACAUUUCACCAAUCACGGCAGAAAUCCUGGAGAGCGACGUCAGGCACACGGCAGAAAUUCUGGAGGGCGACGUUACAUUGCUUACGCUAGACCUGAGGGGGCGGGUAAUUCAAAGAGUGAAGCUAGCCGGAUGCUUAAGGAAUCAACCGAGGCAGAUUAUCGACAUGGUGUCAAACCCCCGUAUCGGGGUGGAGUCGUUGCUGGUGACGGUCAUCAGAAAAGCACCAGCCCAGCAGAAGGGAGAGCCAGAGUCUGGCCGGGGAAGUGCUUCAGACUCUAGACAGAGAAGGCCUACAAGACAUAAAUGCAGGUAUAACACGCACGCACAGACACACGCACAUACCCAGGCCAGGACGCACAGACACACACAAGCGGGCACGCACAGACACACGCACAUACCCAGGCCAGGACGCACAGACACACACAAGCGGGCACGCACAGACACACGCACGCACAGACACACGCACAUACCCAGGCCAGGACGCACAGACACACACAAGCGGGCACGCACAGACACACAGGCAGGCACGCCGCACAGACAGACAGGCACGCACGCCGCGCAGACACAGGCAGGCAGGCAGGCAGGCAGCACAGACGUAGGCAGGCACAAGCAGGAACGGACACACAGACGCACGCACGCACGCACGCUCGCACACCUCAACUCUCUACACAGAGAAGGCCUAAAAGACAGAGAUGCCGGUAGAACACAUGCACACACACUCACACACUGCUCAACACUCUCCAGCUACCAGGCAAAAGGGAGGUUCUUUCUUCCACCACACUGGUCAUUUAGUUUGUCACUGGAUCUCCCAACUUAAUGGCGUUUGGGCUGCUCUAAGUGUUUGUUUGUUUGUAUUGUGUCCCUCUGUAGUUGGAAAUUCCUCGUGGGGGAGAGCUGCGCGUCAUCGGAGUGCUACUUGGGAGCGUUCCUGGUGGAUGGACCAGCGCAGAACCGUCUCCACGCUUGAAAGUGACAAAGCGGGUCCCUGCCACACUGGCCGGUAGCGACUUGCUGUCUGGAUUGUAUACUGGAUUGGGAUGACUCCUCUUUGGUGUGGGUUGAUCUAUUGCAGUGUUUUUUUACUGUGGAUUCUAUAUGUGGGGCGUGGUUUAAGUAUUGCAAACUGAUAAUAUCUUUUGGGGGGAAGGCAUGUAUCUUGCUUUUGUGUGGACAUUGUGUGGGGGUUUUCAUGUUAGACAUGGUUGGCCAUUAGUUGGCUUUAUGCCUAUCGCCUAGUGGGGUUCUAUGUACAGUGAA